AUGAGCCCUUUAAUAUAGACAUUACACUGUGUACAAUGCUUCUCAUAAGCUUAUCGGACUACUUAGUGUACAAUGUUUCUCAUUUGGUUGUCGGUCAUUUAGUAUACAACGCUUCCCAUUGACUUGUAGGACCACAUCAUGCACUGUGCUUCUCACACAGAAUCUACUGAUUUUUUUUCCAUUUUCCUAUUGGUCCACUUAAUGUGCAGUGCUUU